GACGAACGCUGGCGGCGUGCUUAACACAUGCAAGUCGAACGGAAAGGCCCUGCUUUUGUGGCGUGCUCGAGUGGCGAACGGGUGAGUAACACGUGAGUAACCUGCCCUUGACUUUGGGAUAACUUCAGGAAACUGGGGCUAAUACCGGAUAGGAGCUCCUGCUGCAUGGUGUGGGUUGGAAAGUUUCGGCGGUUGGGGAUGGACUCGCGGCUUAUCAGCUGGUUGGUGGGGUAGUGGCUUACCAAGGCUUUGACGGGUAGCCGGCCUGAGAGGGUGACCGGCGACAUUGGGACUGAGAUACGGCCCAGACUCCUACGGGAGGCAGCAGUGGGGAAUAUUGCACAAUGGGCGGAAGCCUGAUGCAGCAACGCCGCGUGCGGGAUGACGGCCUUCGGGUUGUAAACCGCUUUCGCAUGUGACGAAGCGUGAGUGACGGUAAUGGGUAAAGAAGCACCGGCUAACUACGUG
rnacentral:rRNA from 1 species